rnacentral:rRNA from 1 species
GAGCUCUAUCCGCAGGCCUAAUAAUGGCAAGUCGAAGCGGACAGAAGGGGAAGCUUGGCUCCCGGAUGGUUAGCGGCGGACGGGUGAGUAACACGUGGGUAACCUGCCUGUAAGACUGGGAUAACUCCGGGAAACCGGAGCUAAUACCGGAUAGUUCCUUGAACCGCAUGGUUCAAGGAUGAAAGACGGUUUCGGCUGUCACUUACAGAUGGACCCGCGGCGCAUUAGCUAGUUGGUGAGGUAACGGCUCACCAAGGCGACGAUGCGUAGCCGACCUGAGAGGGUGAUCGGCCACACUGGGACUGAGACACGGCCCAGACUCCUACGGGAGGCAGCAGUAGGGAAUCUUCCGCAAUGGACGAAAGUCUGACGGAGCAACGCCGCGUGAGUGAUGAAGGUUUUCGGAUCGUAAAGCUCUGUUGUUAGGGAAGAACAAGUGCAAGAGUAACUGCUUGCACCUUGACGGUACCUAACCAGAAAGCCACGGCUAACUACGUGCCAGCAGCCGCGGUAAUACGUAGGUGGCAAGCGUUGUCCGGAAUUAUUGGGCGUAAAGGGCUCGCAGGCGGUUUCUUAAGUCUGAUGUGAAAGCCCCCGGCUCAACCGGGGAGGGUCAUUGGAAACUGGGAAACUUGAGUGCAGAAGAGGAGAGUGGAAUUCCACGUGUAGCGGUGAAAUGCGUAGAGAUGUGGAGGAACACCAGUGGCGAAGGCGACUCUCUGGUCUGUAACUGACGCUGAGGAGCGAAAGCGUGGGGAGCGAACAGGAUUAGAUACCCUGGUAGUCCACGCCGUAAACGAUGAGUGCUAAGUGUUAGGGGGUUUCCGCCCCUUAGUGCUGCAGCUAACGCAUUAAGCACUCCGCCUG